AAGUCGUAACAAGGUUUCCGUAGGUGAACCUGCGGAAGGAUCAUUUCCAAAAAGCAACUGUGCCAUAAUAUAUACACCUUUUGGUGUGUGAAACGUAUAAUGGAAUUGGUACCCUUAUCAAUUUUACUCUCUCUUCUAAUUAAUUUGCUCUCUGCAUCGCGUAUGUAAAAAAGCAUUUUAAGCAAGAGAGAGGCCUUGAUGAACCCACAUCCUUGAAAGAACUUUACAUUUUCAACAAUGUUUAGUACCUUUGAAAGGACGUUAACAAAAAGUCUCGAUAUGUUUCCUAGUAAAAAAAAGAGAAAGAGUUGGUGUUUUUGUAGUAUCUUGUAUACUACAAUAAUACACUAACAAACUACUCUAUACACAAGUAAAUAUACAGACAACUUUUAACGGUGGAUCUCUUGGCUCGU
rnacentral:misc_RNA from 1 species